rnacentral:rRNA from 1 species
GACGAACGCUGGCGGCGUGCUUAACACAUGCAAGUCGAACGGAAAGGCCCUGCUUUUGUGGGGUGCUCGAGUGGCGAACGGGUGAGUAACACGUGAGUAACCUGCCCUUGACUGUGGGAUAACUUCAGGAAACUGGGGCUAAUACCGGAGAGGAGCUCCUGCUGCAUGGUGGGGGUUGGAAAGUUUCGGCGGUUGGGGAUGGACUCGCGGCUUAUCAGCUUGUUGGUGGGGUAGUGGCUUACCAAGGCUUUGACGGGUAGCCGGCCUGGGAGGGUGACCGGCCACAUUGGGACUGAGGUACGGCCCAGACUCCUACGGGAGGCAGCGGUGGAGAAUAUUACACAGUGGGCGGAAGCCUGAUGCGACAACGCCGCGUGCGGGAUGACGGCCUUCGGGUUGUGAACCGCUUUCGCCUGUGACGAAGCGUGAGUGACGGUAAUGGGUAAAGAAGCACCGGCUAACUACGUG